CUACGGGGUGCAGCAGUGGGGAAUAUUGCACAAUGGAGGAAACUCUGAUGCAGCAACGCCGCGUGGAGGAUGACACUUUUCGGAGCGUAAACUCCUUUUAUAUAGGAAGAUAAUGACGGUACUAUAUGAAUAAGCACCGGCUAACUCCGUGCCAGCAGCCGCGGUAAUACGGAGGGUGCAAGCGUUACUCGGAAUCACUGGGCGUAAAGAGCGUGUAGGCGGGUUAAUAAGUCAGAAGUGAAAUCCUAUGGCUCAACCAUAGAACUGCUUUUGAAACUGUUAACCUAGAGUGUGGGAGAGGUAGAUGGAAUUUCUGGUGUAGGGGUAAGAUCCGUAGAGAUCAGAAGGAAUACCGAUUGCGAAGGCGAUCUACUGGAACAUAACUGACGCUGAGACGCGAAAGCGUGGGGAGCAAACAGGAUUAGAUACCCCCGUAGUC
rnacentral:rRNA from 1 species